GUCAGAACUCAACAUGGACAUGAGGGCCCAUACUCAGUUUAUUGGGUUCUUGUGGCUCUGGUUUGCAGGUGCCAGAUGCGACAUCCAGAUGACCCAGUCUCCAUCCUCCAUGUCUGCAUCUCUGGGAGACAGAGUCACUAUUACUUGCCGGGCAAGUCAAGACAUUGGAAAUUAUUUAAGCUGGUUCCAACAGAAACCAGGGAAAUCUCCUAGGCGUAUGAUUUAUGGUGCAACCAACUUGGCAGCUGGGGUCCCAUCAAGGUUCAGUGGAAGUAGGUCUGGAUCAGAUUAUUCUCUGACCAUCAGCAGCCUGGAGUCUGAAGAUAUGGCGAUCUAUUACUGUCUACAGUCUAUACAGUAUCCUCCCACAGUGAUACAAGUGAUAACAUAAACCCCAAGGAAGCAGAAGUGAGAGUCUUG
rnacentral:lncRNA from 1 species